CGGCGGGCCCCCUCCUUCCUUGGCACGAGCAGCCGGGCCAGCUCUGCUCCCUGGCCCAACGGCUCCCAAAAGCCCGGGCAGCCCCGGGUGCACUCUGCCGAGGCAGAGAGCCUCCCCUCUGACUCAGGCCAGGGCUCACGCUCCCAGAACUUCCGCUGGGACCUCCCGUCUGGCUCUUCGAGGAACACAUGAUGGGAGUCCAUCGGCACCCUCAGCACAGAGCCUGCCCCCGAGACGGAGCUCAUGAAUGUUUGUGGAGUCAGAGCAAGAGAGGAGACAGCACUGGACCCCACGCAGCGAGCGGCCCUACAGGCUCAUCGGCACAGGCGGGGGGGACGGGCCUGCUGAGUGGGAGGAGGCGAGUCCUGAGAAGGAGCAGCCAGGGCAGGUUUGUCCUCUGCCUGGACAGCAGCCUUGUGCAGUGUUGGUGGUAACUCUUCUUUCCCUUUUAAAACAUUUGUAGUGAUGAUGGUGGUGGUGAUGACGAUGUUUGGGUACAGAUUGGGAGAGAAACUUUAGUGGGGUUCUCUGCACCGCUAGGCACAGUGUAUCACGUUCCUGGGUCCACCGUGCUCCUCCCCUCCCCAGGAUCACCACUCCUGUCUUUGCAGAAGGAGAGCACCUUUCCUUCUUGCCUCAGCUUCUCCCAUCCUGCUCAGACCUUGUCCUCUGGCAAAGGUGUUCUUUGCCAGAAGACCCCAGCAUCUUACAGGCCACCACAUUAGCCAGACAGCAGGAUGGCACAGAAAGCUUCCCCACAUCGACUGCGGGGGGUGAAGGUGUUGCCCGCCCUGUGGAUUUUCCAGAGGGUCUGGAGGGUCCUGGUGGGGCCAUGGCAGGCUGGGGGCUCAAGAUCAGCCGGAGCAUAUGAGAGGGGUCUAACUUCUUCUGAGCUGCACCCUAGACAGCCUGGAUGCAGGCAUAUUCCCUUCUUUCCCUCCCUCCUCCUCCUCCUCUCUCUCUCUGACUCUCUUUUCCAGGAUUUAUUUUUUGGGAACCUGCUCUGAGCCAGCACCAGGAAGGCAAAGUCCCUGUCCUCACAGAGCUCGCAGGCCGGAGGGGAGACAGACAGACAGACAGACUCGGGCACCUGAGAAGUGCCAGGCACAGGGAGUAUCUAAGCAGGAUGUCUGAUUAAGCAGUCAGGGCAGGUCCCUGACAAAGUGGUGCUUCAGCUGAAACCUGGAGAAUGGGUCAGAGUUAGCAGGUGGUGAGGUUGGAGGGAGGAUGGCCUGGGCGGAGAGAAUAGCGCAUGAAGUGGCCCCAACAAUAUCUCCCCGCCACAGUGAGACCUUGACACUCCUCCCAAUGAGAGGUAGGAUCUCUGCCCCCUCCCCUUGAAUCUGGAUGGUUUCUGACUUGCUUGUAACCAGUAGAAUGCAGUGGGAGUGACACUACCUGACUGCCAAGACUGGGUGAAAAAAGGCAGUGCAGCUUCUGCCUUGUUUACUGGCACACUCUGUGUUGGCGCCAUGAGCCAAGCUGGACCCCAAGAAGUCCAGCUACCCGGAAGCUGCCGUGUGAAGACUGCAUGCACCAUAGGUCCCAGCUGGCAGCUGGCAUCAACCCCCAGACAUGGGAGGAAAGAGGCCCCUCGCCAUCGAGUCAUCCCCAGCUAUAGCGUCUUCCUGCUGAGGCCCCAGACAUCAGGCAGCAGAGAUAAGCCAUCCUAGUGUUCCAUGUCUGAAUUCCUGACCCACAGAACCCGUGAGGAUAAGGAAAUGGUUAUUUUAGGCCGCAAAGUUUUGGUGGUAAUUUGUUACACUGCAGUAGUAACAGGAGCGGACCCUGAGGCAAGAGCAACUGUGAGUUCUUCCAGGAGCUGAGAGGAGUGCGGUGUGGAGGAGAGGAGGGGAGCGUGGCAGGGGAUGAGGCCUUGUCAGAGGGCGGACUUCAUCCCGAGGGCAGUCAGGAACCACUGCAAGGCUCUGAGCAGGACAGGGUUCCGGCUUGCUUUUGUUUUUAAGAAGGCCACGCUGGUGUUGACUGGAUGGACAGGCGCUGCGGCCGUGGCAUCGGAGCUGCUGGGAGUUGGUUGCAGCUGUCCUGGUGAGAGAGGAGCACUGAGCCUCACUUUCCUCAUGUGGAAAAUGAAGAUGAUGUAAGGAUCUACCUCACAGGGCUGUUGCGAAAAUUAAAUAAGAUGUGACACGUUAAGUGUAACACACAUGGCUCCUCCCCACUCUUAUCCGGAACCUCCUGGUCAAGCUUCCACCUUGACAGCUCCCAGAUCUUGGAAUCCUCCUGACCUCAGUGAGCACCAUCCCUGCGUUUCCACCUGCCUGUUGGACGGGUGUCAUGUGACGAAAGCAUUUGAGGAAAAGGGAAUCUUUCUUUUUCUUUUUAUAGUUUUUA